rnacentral:rRNA from 1 species
AUUGAACGCUGGCGGCAGGCUUAACACAUGCAAGUCGAGCGGGGGAAGGUAGCUUGCUACCGGACCUAGCGGCGGACGGGUGAGUAAUGCUUAGGAAUCUGCCUAUUAGUGGGGGACAACAUCUCGAAAGGGAUGCUAAUACCGCAUACGUCCUACGGGAGAAAGCAGGGGACCUUCGGAGCUUGCGCUAAUAGAUGAGCCUAAGUCGGAUUAGCUAGUUGGUGGGGUAAAGGCCUACCAAGGCGACGAUCUGUAGCGGGUCUGAGAGGAUGAUCCGCCACACUGGGACUGAGACACGGCCCAGACUCCUACGGGAGGCAGCAGUGGGGAAUAUUGGACAAUGGGGGGAACCCUGAUCCAGCCAUGCCGCGUGUGUGAAGAAGGCCUUAUGGUUGUAAAGCACUUUAAGCGAGGAGGAGGCUACUUUAGUUAAUACCUAGAGAUAGUGGACGUUACUCGCAGAAUAAGCACCGGCUAACUCUGUGCCAGCCGCCGCAGUAA